UACGUAGGGCGCGAGCGUUGUCCGGAAUUAUUGGGCGUAAAGAGCUCGUAGGCGGCCUGUCGCGUCAAUUGUGAAAGCCCGGGGCUCAACCCCGGGUCUGCAGUCGAUACGGGCAGGCUAGAGUUCGGUAGGGGAGAUCGGAAUUCCUGGUGUAGCGGUGAAAUGCGCAGAUAUCAGGAGGAACACCGGUGGCGAAGGCGGGUCUCUGGGCCGUAACUGACGCUGAGGAGCGAAAGCAUGGGGAGCGAACAGG
rnacentral:rRNA from 1 species